CGUGCCGGUCACGUGGGGCAUGGCGGCUUAGUUCCCCCGUAACAGUAGCCCCCCACUUCCGAGCCUGGAACUAGAAGGGGAACAGGUGAAGGGAGUGAUGUUUCGAGAUUGCCGCCAUUCCUUGGAGAGGCGCGCGCGCUUCGAGCUCCCCGCCUUCUUUAUGGCGUAUGGCGGUUGUUGCUGACCUGGCAGUCUGAGGAUUUCGGCGGACAUCCUUCCUUAAUGGUGUCGAUUCGCCUUUGGGGCGCGAGCGACCCUUCGG
rnacentral:lncRNA from 1 species